rnacentral:rRNA from 1 species
UUGACGGGAGCCCGCACAAGCAGCGGAGCGUGUGGUUUAAUUCGAUGCUACACGAAGAACCUUACCUGGGUUUGACAUCUACGUAGUAGGGAACCGAAAGGGGACCGAGCCUUCGGGCAGCGUAGACAGGUGCUGCAUGGCUGUCGUCAGCUCGUGCCGUGAGGUGUCGGGUUAAGCCCCGCAACGAGCGCAACCCCCGUUGUCAGUUAAACAUUACUGGCGAGACUGCCGGCAUAUAACCGGAGGAAGGUGGGGAUGACGUCAAGUCAGCAUGGCCUUUAUAUCCAGGGCUACACACACGCUACAAUGGCCGGAACAAAGGGUCGCGAAGCCGUGAGGCGGAGCCAAUCUCAGAAAACCGGUCUCAGUUCAGAUUGCAGGCUGCAACCCGCCUGCAUGAAGUCGGAGUUGCUAGUAACCGCAGGUCAGCUAUACUGCGGUGAAUACGUUCCCGGGCUUU